rnacentral:tRNA from 1 species
CCGUAGCUCAGUCGGAUAGAGCGUUGGUCUCCGAAGCCAAAGGUCACGGGUUCGACUCCCGUCGGGC